rnacentral:rRNA from 1 species
UGGGGAAUAUUGCACAAUGGGCGCAAGCCUGAUGCAGCCAUGCCGCGUGUGUGAAGAAGGCCUUCGGGUUGUAAAGCACUUUCAGCGAGGAGGAAGGUGGUGAACUUAAUACGUUCAUCAAUUGACGUUACUCGCAGAAGAAGCACCGGCUAACUCCGUGCCAGCAGCCGCGGUAAUACGGAGGGUGCAAGCGUUAAUCGGAAUUACUGGGCGUAAAGCGCACGCAGGCGGUUUGUUAAGUCAGAUGUGAAAUCCCCGGGCUCAACCUGGGAACUGCAUUUGAAACUGGCAAGCUAGAGUCUCGUAGAGGGGGGCUAGAAUUCCAGGUGUAGCGGUGAAAUGCGUAGAGAUCUGGAGGAAUACCGGUGGCGAAGGCGGCCCCCUGGANGAAGACUGACGCUCAGGUGCGAAAGGCGUGGGGGAGCAAACAGGAUUAGAUACCCUGGUAGUCCACGCUGU